rnacentral:lncRNA from 1 species
GGGUUGUGGUGGAGAUUGCCUAUCUUCACCAAACUCAUUGCCUCCUUUCUCCUGGCACAGAGCUGCACUGUAUUUUGCAGGCUCUGUUGAAGUUACAUCGCUGGUAAGCACUGGCCAAGUAAUUGAGUUACAGCCAAAGGGUGAUUAGAAGUGACGUGUGCCACCUCUACAUCUGAUCCACAAAACCUCCCAUUCCCCCAGGCUCUUCCCUGCUGCCAGUUCGAAGCAGAUGGGUGUGGCAGCUUGAAGUCACAUGUGAAGUUGAUGGUACCACAGGAUGGAGGGAGCACAGGUUCCUGAAUCUCUUCUUGGAGAAGGCCCAUCUGCUCACCAGGAAUCCCAUUUGAGACUCUACAUGAGAAAUACACGUCUAUUAUUGGAGCAAUUACAAAUUUCAGAGUUUGCUACAGCAGAUAUAUUCGUGUGUUUCACGUCACUUCCAUGCUGAGUUCUUGUCAGUUCAUCCUGGUGUGGGAAUAAUGUCCAGGGAAUACUUUCAUCGCCCACUGGGUUGACCUGACCUGACCUGAUUGGAGACAUGAAGCUGGAGGACCAGACGUGGUAUGGUGAUAAGAAUGUGUCCUGUGACACCUCACCCAGAUGUGCCAGUGGAAGAGAAACAAGGAUUAAAACGUGCAGGGACAGAGGCCAACCCAGAGAACACUCUGCCAGGCAUUAGGCACGUACAGUGGUAAGCAAGGCACUCAGUUCUCAUCAGCGUCUGAUUCAUGCAGAAGUUCUUUCCUGUUAAGAAUCUACUCAAUAAUGCAACACAUAUAAUUAGAAAUGAAUCAUAUGAAAUAGAUUUUAUCAGCAUUUCUAUAUUUACAGGGCACAAACCUGUAGCAGUUCUAUAAAAGUGAGUAAAUCUAUGUGUGAAAUCAUGUAUUUUAUGAAUCUGAUUAUUAAUAACAAGAAAGUGUACGCCAGAUGUGGUGUUCAUGCCUGGUAUAAACUUUGGUGUUCAUCCCACUGGCAUGAAAUUUGGGAGGCCAAGGUGGGAGGAUUGCUUGAGGCCAGGAGUUUGAGACCAACCUGGGCAAUAUAGCAAGACUCUGUUUCUACAAAACACACACACAAAAAAAAAUUAAAAGAAAGAGUAACAAGGAUGGGCAUGCUGGCUCACACCUGUAAUCCCAGCACUUUGGGAGGCUGA